rnacentral:miRNA from 1 species
AAGUAUUAGGUUGAUGCAAAAGCAAUUGUGGUUUUUGCCAUUAAAAGUAAUUGGCAAAAACCGCAAUAACUUUUGCACCAACUUAAUAAUA